rnacentral:rRNA from 1 species
GUAGGGGGCUAGCGUUGUCCGGAUUUAUUGGGCGUAAAGAGCGCGUAGGCGGCCGAGUAAGUCCGACGUGAAAUCUGGAGGCUCAACCUCCAGCGGUCGUUGGAAACUACUCGGCUAGAGUCCGGAAGAGGAGAGUGGAAUUCCUGGUGUAGCGGUGAAAUGCGCAGAUAUCAGGAAGAACGCCGAUGGCGAAAGCAGCUCUCUGGGACGGUACUGACGCUGAGGCGCGAAAGCGUGGGGAGCGAACAGGAUUAGAUACCCUGGUAGUCCACGCCGUAAACGAUGGGUGCUAGGUGUGGGCGGUGUCGACUCCGCCCGUGCCGAAGCUAACGCAUUAAGCACCCCGCCUGGGGAGUACGGCCGCAAGGCUA